CCUAGUAGAGGCCGCCGCGGUCUCCGGCUUCAACGCACAGAGACUGCGGGGGAAGAGAGCACUGCGCAGGCGCGAUGCGGCCGCCGCUGUCAGUCCGAGCGGGGCGGGGCCAGGGCACCCGCCGUCUCCAAGAUAACUCACCCCAACCUUGUCUUAGAAAUUUGGCACCAAAAAACUUGGUUUUGUUCCCACCAGGAGAAAGGACUGACUAUUAGCUGUUGGGUCACUGAGGCUCCUGUCUCUCAACACUUUUUUUUUUUGACCAGACCACAAGGCAUGUGGAACUUCCCUGACCAGGGAUCAAACCUGUGACUCUUGCAGUGGACGUGCACAGUCUUAACCACUGGACCACCAGGGAAGCAUUCAGCGGUUUUUUAAUCUUCAAACUCUGUUCAGGCCUCCCAGUGAACUGCCAUCUGCCACGCAACACAAGUGAAGAACCAAAGCUGAGUUUUUUGGCCUUUUUUUUAGUGGCUAAAGCCUCACCCCAGCCACUAUGGAAGAAAAGGUCCCCCCACCAAACUCCUUCUUCUUUGAAGAAACACAACUGAGACCAAGCGAGAAGUAGCUAUAGUUUAAUACAAACCUGCACCAGAA